GUUGACAGCCCAACACAGUGAACAUCCUCAACAAAACAAACAACCUUUCCCUGUUGCUUGGACAUCAUGACCUCUGUGGAAAUAUUUAAGCUGCAUUUUUUACUACUUAUUCCAUCGUCUCUCUCAGUUUUGGACAGUGAAGGUAACGUAAAGCUAUUUUUGACAAUUUAAUGUAAAUGCCAUAUAAACUAGUCAGGAGUUUGGACAUUCAUUGAUUUUUCUUCAUUUUCUAACAACUGUCAGAGAUUUUGCAGUCAAUGAUGGCAGCUUGGCUCAUUCUUGAUGGUCUCUUAUUAAGUGAAUCACCUGAUCUGGUCUAAAAUGAAAUUUGUUUCUGAAUGCCUCGUCCCCUUAAUUUGCUUCAUGUGGAAGCUGCGUUGUGUUCAACUAUUGUGCAUAGUUGGUAUUUUUAUGGAUCUUCAAAUCAAUGUGCAUUUCAUAUUUUUUUAUUACAAAGUCCCACUUUUGUUUCUUAACAGUCUAAAUGUUUGCAGUACGGAAAAUACAGGUCAAAUAAUUGAGGGGAAAAAACAAUGUAUAAGUGUAAACUUCUGACUUUCUUUAUUCUGGCAUUUACCAAAUAAAAUGUUCUUUAAUCCUUAAAUAUUUACUUAUGUGAAUAUAAAACAAACAAGACUCUGAUUCUUAUUAAUUAUUCUUGUCAGUGAAUCUUGUGAAAACGAUCUGGAAAGAAUCUGAUUUCACUCCAAUCUGCACCAACGAAACAUCAAAUAUCAUCAUGAUGAUUGUGUGUAAAAUCAGAACAGAGAGGAACAAUGGAGAUCAGUGCAGCCUGCUGUAUAAAGACGAAGGUGACUUUGUUCAUGAGUGUGACUCCAGGUUCUCACUGGAAACCAGGAAUCAAACUGUGUUUCUGCAGCUGACCAGUUUAACAGCAGCUGAUAGUGGGAACUACUCCUGUCAGUGUUCAAAACUUGAUGGAACGUAUUUUCUCAAUCUCAGAAUCACAGUUAAUGAGUCAUUUCAUAAUAAUAAUCCAGCAGAAGAAGUUUGGAUCCAGUCUGCAGGAGUGACUCUUCCUUCUGCUUUUACUGCUGCAGCUUUCUUAUUUAUCAUAGUCUCAGUUAUUCUGGGUUUUAUUUACAGAAGACGUCCAGACCGCUCCUGUUUAAAAUCUGAAACAUCCAGAUCGUCUGUACCACGACAAGCUGCCGCUGUUGAUGAAGACAACUUGGAUGAAUUGUACUCAAGUCUCCAACAACAAACCAGAGACAUUUACCAAACUGUCUCCUUUUGUCACCAUCAGUAUAAAACUGAAACAAAUGUCACUGACGGGCCGGGAAACGUGGAAAUGAACAGAAAUUGUAACAUUUAUGAAAAUGUUUUGAACUAAAACUCUGUCUGGAUAAAUACAACAGAAUUUCCUGUAAUGGAUUAACAUGCAGAUUGUUGAAGAGAAACCGUCGUGCAGGCGCAUUUCCUUCAAAAAAAAAAAAAAGAAAGGAAGAAAGUCACAUCCUCUUGUGCCGUUUUGAGAGAUGAGAAUUCGUGGUUUGUGUAGCCCAAAAGAUUUGAAGGACAUUUGAGGCGGCCUCCGUUCAGUGCAGCAGCAGGUGUUGCAUCGAUAAGCUGGUUAGAUGGAUGCAGUGAGAUUCAGCUUUUUACUGCUUCUGCCAUGUGUUGCAUGUUUUAUGGAUGCUGAAGUGAAUCUUGUGAAAACAAUCUGGAAAGAAUCUGAUUUCACUCCAAUCUGCACCAACGAAACAUCAAAUAUCAUCAUGAUGAUUGUGUGUAAAAUCAGAACAGAGAGGAACAAUGGAGAUCAGUGCAGCCUGCUGUAUAAAGACCAAGGUGACUUUGUUCAUGAGUGUGACUCCAGAUUCUCACUGGAAACCAGGAAUCAAACUGUGUUUCUGCAGCUGACCAGUUUAACAGCAGCUGAUAGUGGGAACUACUCCUGUCAGUGUUCAAAACUUGAUGGAACGUAUUUUCUCAAUCUCAGCAUCACAGUUAAUGACUCAAAUCCCGAUGAGAAUCUAUCAGAUGAAGUUUGGAGCCAGUCUGCAGAUGAGAUUCGUCUUUAUGCUUUGACUGCUGCAGUUCUCUUAGUUAUCAUAGUUUCAGUUAUUCUGGGAUUUAUUCACAGAAGACGUCCAGACCGAGAGCAACCGGAGUCAUGCAUUCAUCCUCCAGAGGAGGACGUGACUGAAAUUGAGCCGUACAUCUCCUACACGCAGAAGGAAAAUUCACUUUAUUCAACAGGCACAUUGCACAGCUGUCAACUUAAUUCUGACUCCACAAAUAUUAUCUAAUGAAUGGACACAUUUACCAUCACAGUUCUGGGGUGUUUGGGUGUUUUUCUUUUGAAUUUCUGAUCAUUUCCUCCUGAUUUAUCUAUGUUCACUGGGUCUUGCCGUAUUCGGUUCACUAUUGUUGUCAUAUAAAUUCCUUUGUGCUCAGUUUCUUGUUGUUUUUGGGGUUUUUUGUACAUUUGGAUUAAUUUCACUGACAUCUCUGUUAAUCUUUUUCACUUGUCGCUUUUCUGAGUUUUAGUUUCUUUCUGGACUUUCCCUCUCUUUAUCUGCCUUUUCUCUUUUGCCGCCCUCGCUUCCUUAUAAAGACGUGUUCAUAUAAGAUAUGUAUGUAAGUACGUCCUUUAACAUACUUUCUGAAAUCUUGGCAUGUCGUUUUUUGCAUAAAUGUCCAAAAACAACCAUGCAAGCACUAAGGAAAGCUGCUAUUUUUUUUUUUUUUUUUAAAGAAUAAUGCUCAGUACUUUGCCACGUGCUAAAGCUGAAGACGGAUUGUGUAAAAAUAGGUUGGAGUAAACAUUUGCCCAUUUUUAUUUAAACACAUUGAAAACAUUUUAGCCGAUCGAUGCCUCAUGAAUUUAGAAAAAGAAGUUGAGAGUCAGGCGUGGUUAGAACAUGAUCAGCCUCAACCACCUUUAAACCAUCAGUUGACGUUUUUAUGGGUCAUUUUUUCACCUUUCACUUUUAAACUAGAGCACGGUGUCUUUUUUCUGGCAUUUCAUGAAGGUUUUGCUAAAUUUCGCAGCUUGUUGCAUAAAUUUUACAGCUACUUGACAAAAGCUCCACAUUAAAACAUCUUUCAAUUUAUUUUUCUUUGAAGUUGUUGAAACACCAAGUAAAUCAAAUUUCAGAAAACUUUUAAUUUUGGAAAAAAAACCCUCUGUCCUCUUCCUGUUAUAUUUCCUGAGUUGAUGGUUUUGUUUCUGUUUAACCAUCAUAAUCAUAUUUCAUCCUGGACGCUUUUAUUCUAGUAUUUAACAAUGCUGUAAAGAAACAAUACAUUCAUUUAGAAAUAUCUAUUUAUAACAUAAAGAUGAAAAAUAAAAAUACUUUUAUUGCACUGCAAAAAACAAACAAACGUAUCAACGCGAGUUUAUUUUAAUCUACUGGACUCGUAACCUGCAGCAAGAUGGUUUUUCUCUUAACAGCUCACAUUCAAGAUUAUAAAUAUGUGAAGACCACAAAGCAAACCGGACAUUUUGAUCUUCAGUUUUGCUAACCACCUAUUUUGCAGAAAACAAAGCAGGAAGUCCCACCUGCCAUGACAACAUGCCGCCAUGACAACAUGCCGCCAUGACAACAUGCCGCCAUGACAACAUGCCACCAGCUCUGUUGUGAUCUAAGAGGCAGCAGUACAUUACAAUACAUUUCUUUAAUGACUAAUAAAAGUAAUAGCUUGAAUUUUAAGCAAACUUUUGACCCAUCAUGUUGAGAAGUGCAGAGUUAAUUCUGGUUUGUGUUCUGUUGUGUCAAAGUGAAGCCGUCAUGCAGACGCGUUUCCCUUCAAGAAAAAGUGUCACAUCCUCUUGAACCACUUUGAGAGAUGAGAAUUUGUGGUUUGAGUCGCCCAUUAAAAGUUCAGAGGACAGUUGAGACGACCUCAGUUCAGUGCAGCAGCAGAUUUUGUAUCGAUAAACUGGUUAGAUGGAUGCAGAGAGAUUCAGCUUUUUACUGCUUCUGCCAUGUGUUGCAUGUCUUAUGGAUGCUGAAGGUAAUG